rnacentral:rRNA from 1 species
AUUGAACGCUGGCGGCAUGCCUUACACAUGCAAGUCGAACGGCAGCACGGGUGCUUGCACCUGGUGGCGAGUGGCGAACGGGUGAGUAAUACAUCGGAACGUACCUUAUCGUGGGGGAUAACGCAGCGAAAGCUGUGCUAAUACCGCAUACGCCCUGAGGGGGAAAGCGGGGGAUCGAAAGACCUCGCGCGAUUAGAGCGGCCGAUGCCUGAUUAGCUUGUUGGUGGGGUAAAAGCCCACCAAGGCGACGAUAAGUAGCUGGUCUGAGAGGACGAUCAGCCGAACUGGGACUGAGACACGGCCCAGACUCAUACGGGAGGCAGCAGUGGGGAAUUUUGGACAAUGGGGGCAACCCUGAUCCAGCAAUGCCGCGUGAGUGAAGAAGGCCUUCGGGUUGUAAAGCUCUUUUGUCAGGGAAGAAACACCGGCUCUAACACAGUCCGGGAAUGACGGUACCUGAUGAAUAAGCACCGGCUAACUACGUGCCAGCCGCCGCCGUAA